rnacentral:rRNA from 1 species
CAUGCGAGUCGAGAGGGGUCAAGCCCUCGGCGGACUGCUCAGUAACACGUGGAUAACCUGCCCUAAGGUGGAGCAUAACCCCGGGAAACUGGGGAUAAUACUCCAUAGGUUAUGGAUGCUGGAAUGCUUCAUAACUCAAAGCUCCGGCGCCUUAGGAUGGAUCUGCGGUCGAUUAGGUUGUUGUUGGGGUAACGGCCCAACAAGCCUGUAAUCGAUACGGGUUGUGGGAGCAAGAGCCCGGAGAUGGAAUCUGAGACACGAUUCCAGGCCCUACGGGGCGCAGCAGGCGCGAAAACUUUACAAUGCAGGAAAUUGUGAUAAGGGAACCCCGAGUGCCCGUAUACGCGGGCUGUCCAGGUGUGUAAAAAGCACCUGAAGAAAGGGCCGGGCAAGACCGGUGCCAGCCGCCGCGGUAAUACCGGCGGCUCGAGUGGUGGCCACUUUUAUUGGGCUUAAAGCGUCCGUAGCUGGACUCCUAAGUCCCUUGGGAAAUCUCUUGGCUUAACCA